AUGACUUUUAAUAUGACAGAUUUUCAUGGCAUUAAAUUACCACCGUAGAAGAUAAAAUGAUCAGAUGAAAGGUAUACAAGCGUUCGCGCGAUAUGAUGUGAUCGUCUGCUUUUGAUUAUAGAUCCUAGAUUUAAGUCAUUUUUGGAGAUGUUAGAUCAACAAUCAACGAUGUCAAAGGUGUGGAUUUAAAAUUUCAAAAAAAAGAUGCUAAUAUGGAACUGCCAAACAAUCUGAUCAGCACCAAACCUGCUGCAGCUGCAUCGGAAAGCAAUACCUGCCUGAUGCCAAUCACUUGCAGAUGACCAAGAUCAUGUUAAGUUACGCCAGAAAGGGAGUGAUAGCAUAAAUGCUGCCAGCAAAGUUCGCUUGGACAAUACUACUUCGCUACCCGGACAGACAGUUCAUGUACAUUUUGCGGAAAGAUUAUUGUAACCCAAUUCGAAUCACGCUAUCCUUAAAUAAAAAGCCAACACAGACUGUAUUAUCUUCAUCAUUACGAUCUAACACUGAACGAUUAAACUUCAGUACAAAUUUUCUAUUUUGUGCUCAACGUGCCAAUUUUUUUGGAAGAAAAUGAGGCUAUAAUGCAUACCAUGUUAGAACAGUUGAAUUAAAAAAUAACAUAUAACAAAUAUGUAUCGUUAAGGAUGACAAAUGGGGUUCAGAUAUUAAAAGCAGAUUGGAAACUAUACAUGACUUAGCGGCUGCUGAUGCUAUAUACCAUAUGUCAUGCAGCGUAAAUUUUAGGACAGGUAAAAAUAUACCACAGCCAGGCAAUGAAAAAGGAAAGAAGUGUGGAAGACCAGUGAACAUGGCACAGGAAUUUGCUUUCCAGGAAAUAGCAAAGUUCCUGAUUGAAAAUGAUGACAAACAAAUAACACUAAAAGACCUUGUUGACAAAAUGGUAGAACUAUGUGUAGAACUAUCCUAUACAUCAACGCAUAUGAAGAAGAGAUUACUAGAGCAUUUUGGGUCCUCUAUUGUCAUCACAGAAUUAAAUGGAAAGCAGAAUGUAAUCACAUUUAGAAACACUGCAUCAUCAAUUCUUCAUUCAUUUUACCAAAAGUCUAGUAGCGAUUCCGAUGCUUAUAAAAUUGAAAUAAUAAAAACAGCAGCACAACUAUUGCUAACUGAUAUAAAGGAUUUUAAAGCAACAAAAUUGUCUCACCCUGACUAUGCUGAUCUUAUGUCUACACAGGCAAAUAUUGACUACAUUCCGGAUAGUUUAAAAACAUUUUUUAGAGAAAUUUUCAGCGAGAAAAAGGCAGAUGUUAAGAUUGCCUCUAUUGGACAGGCCAUUAUCCAAGCAGCAAGACCAAAGGUGUUGAUUCCUUCUCUACAGAUUGGCUUAGCAGUACAAAUGAAAGAAGAGGUUAAGCUGAUAGAUAUGAUAUUAGCUCCACCUGGAGAAGAAAAAUCACUAUAUGUGCUUGCAGUUUUGAGCAGUUUUGAGACGUACAGGUUAUCUUUGUAUUAUACUCGAAUGUAAAAUAUGGUAUAAUAGAAGUGUUUUGAUUUUAAGUGUUAACAUUAUAAUACUUAAGUUAUGCGUUAUUUUAAGCUAAUGACAAUGCAACCAAUCUUAGUUUAAUUUUAUUUCAACAUGCCGUAAUAUAUUGGCAUGAUUUAAUAGUAGCACGUAUUUAAUGGGUGGGUGGGGUAAGUUUACCCCUAUAAAUACACAAUUUACAGGAGUAAAUAUGUUAAGAAACUUCAUGAUACACUUAGGAAAUAGAAAAAUAAUACUGUUUUCAUAACUGAUGUAUUACUGAAUACUGUUUUUGUCGGGUGGUUUGCCCGAAAUGUGUUGUUUUAAUAGAAAAUGGAAAAUAUACUUUAUUUAAAAAAACAUCCGCGAGGGGCAUAAAUAAAAUGAAGUUUUAACAGGUUUGUCCUGGAAAUAUUU